UUGACCUCGGAUCAGGUAGGAAUACCCGCUGAACUUAAGCAUAUCAAUAAGCGGAGGAAAAGAAACCAACAGGGAUUGCCCCAGUAACGGCGAGUGAAGCGGCAACAGCUCAAAUUUGAAAUCUGGCCCCUCGGGGUCCGAGUUGUAAUUUGUAGAGGAUGCUUUUGGUGAGGUGCCGCCCGAGUUCCCUGGAACGGGACGCCACAGAGGGUGAGAGCCCCGUCUGGCUGGCCACCGAGCCUCUGUAAAGCUCCUUCGACGAGUCGAGUAGUUUGGGAAUGCUGCUCAAAAUGGGAGGUAUAUGUCUUCUAAAGCUAAAUAUUGGCCAGAGACCGAUAGCGCACAAGUAGAGUGAUCGAAAGAUGAAAAGCACCUUGAAAAGAGGGUUAAAUAGUACGUGAAAUUGUUGAAAGGGAAGCGCUUGUGACCAGACUUGGGCGCGGCGGAUCAUCCGGGGUUCUCUCCGGUGCACUUCGCCGCGUCUAGGCCAGCAUCAGUUCGUCGCGGGGGAAAAAGGUUUCGGGAACGUGGCUCCUCCGGGAGUGUUAUAGCCCGUUGCAUAAUACCCUGCGGUGGAC
rnacentral:rRNA from 1 species